rnacentral:rRNA from 1 species
AGCACUUAUACCGUGAAACUGCGAAUGGCUCAUUAAAUCAGUUAUCGUUUAUUUGAUAGUACCUUACUACUUGGAUAACCGUGGUAAUUCUAGAGCUAAUACAUGCUAAAAACCCCGACUUCGGAAGGGGUGUAUUUAUUAGAUAAAAAACCAAUGCCCUUCGGGGCUCCUUGGUGAUUCAUAAUAACUUAACGAAUCGCAUGGCCUUGCGCCGGCGAUGGUUCAUUCAAAUUUCUGCCCUAUCAACUUUCGAUGGUAGGAUAGUGGCCUACCAUGGUAUCAACGGGUAACGGGGAAUUAGGGUUCUAUUCCGGAGAGGGAGCCUGAGAAACGGCUACCACAUCCAAGGAAGGCAGCAGGCGCGCAAAUUACCCAAUCCCGACGCGGGGAGGUAGUGACAAUAAAUACUGAUACAGGGCUCUUUUGGGUCUUGUAAUUGGAAUGAGUACAAUUUAAAUCCCUUAACGAGGAACAAUUGGAGGGCAAGUCUGGUGCCAGCAGCCGCGGUAAUUCCAGCUCCAAUAGCGUAUAUUAAAGUUGUUGCAGUUAAAAAGCUCGUAGUUGAACCUUGGGUCUGGCUGACCGGUCCGCCUCACCGCGUGCACUGGUUCGGCCGGACCUUUCCUUCUGGGGAUCCGCAUGCCCUUCACUGGGCGUGUCGGGGAACCAGGACUUUUACUUUGAAAAAAUUAGAGUGUUCAAAGCAGGCCUUUGCUCGAAUACAUUAGCAUGGAAUAAUAGAAUAGGACGUGCGGUUCUAUUUUGUUGGUUUCUAGGACCGCCGUAAUGAUUAAUAGGGAUAGUCGGGGGUAUCAGUAUUCAAUUGUCAGAGGUGAAAUUCUUGGAUUUAUUGAAGACUAACUACUGCGAAAGCAUUUACCAAGGAUGUUUUCAUUAAUCAGUGAACGAAAGUUAGGGGAUCGAAGACGAUCAGAUACCGUCGUAGUCUUAACCGUAAACGAUGCCGACUAGGGAUCGGGCGAUGUUAUCAUUUUGACUCGCUCGGCACCUUACGAGAAAUCAAAGUUUUUGGGUU